rnacentral:rRNA from 1 species
UGCAAGUCGAGCGGCAGCACGGGAAGCUUGCUUCCUGGUGGCGAGCGGCGGACGGGUGAGUAAUGCAUAGGAAUCUGCCCGGUAGUGGGGGAUAACCUGGGGAAACCCAGGCUAAUACCGCAUACGUCCUACGGGAGAAAGCAGGGGCUCUUCGGACCUUGCGCUAUCGGAUGAGCCUAUGUCGGAUUAGCUGGUUGGUGAGGUAAUGGCUCACCAAGGCGACGAUCCGUAGCUGGUCUGAGAGGAUGAUCAGCCACAUCGGGACUGAGGCACGGCCCGAACUCCUACGGGAGGCAGCAGUGGGGAAUAUUGGACAAUGGGCGCAAGCCUGAUCCAGCCAUGCCGCGUGUGUGAAGAAGGCCCUCGGGUUGUAAAGCACUUUCAGUGGGGAAGAAAGCCUGGUGGUUAAUACCCGUCAGGAAGGACAUCACCCACAGAAGAAGCACCGGCUAACUCCGUGCCAGCAGCCGCGGUAAU